rnacentral:lncRNA from 1 species
GUUGAACUAUCUCACAGUAACUCGAUAUUGCAUAUGCAGUUUGUAUUGUCAGUCAAUUUAUGUUGCCUCCAACCAUCCAUCAUUGGGCAGCUCUUGAACAGAUCUUGUGCUACUUAAAAGAGCUCCUGGACAUGGUAUAUUGUACAAGAAUCAUGGACACACUAGAGUGUUUUAUAGAAGCAGACUGGACAGGAUUGAAAGUUGACUAAAGGUCCACUACAGGAUAUUGUGUAUUCAUUGGAGGAAAUUUGGUGUCGUGGAAGAGUAAGAAAAAUAAUGAUGUAUCCCGAUCCAGUGCCAAAUCAGAAUAUAUAGUCAGGGCUCAGUUUGUUUGUGAAAUCAUGCGGAUACAUCAUCUCAUGAUUGAAAUAGGCCUGAAGUCUUCAUUACCAGCAAAAUUAUGGUGCAAUAAUCAGGCUGAUCUGCAUAUUGCCUCAAAUCCAAUAUUUCAUGAACCAACAGAACACAUAAAGUUGAUUGGCAUUUCGUUCAUGAAAAAAUGCAAGAGCUGAUAUCUACCAUUUACCUAAAAACUGAAAAUCAACUUCGUAACAUUUUCACAAAAGCUCUCUGUUAUGCGCCUUGGCGUAAGAUCUAGUCACAGGUCUAGACGAGAAAGAAUUCUUGCUUCGACCUAUGGUUACUCACAAAGGCAGAUUCGUCCUUGACUGAACCCCCUCUCAAAAUAACGUUUCUUUAGAUAGAAUAAUUGCUUACCUCUUUAUUUCAUAUUGACAGCCUUUUAUAGACUGUUAAUAACAAAUGAAAGAGUCCUAAUUGACAUAAAAUAGAAUUCCUAACUUAGAGUUUAUGAAGGAAACAAAAACCUAAUAUAGUAAAACUAAAACUCUUAGUAAAACCUGAUAUAAUAAAUAAAUAAAUAAAACUAAAAACUCCUAUUGCAAUUAAAGUGUCCAUAUCAUUACUCCCCUUCUCGGAAUUGAGCUUGUCCUCAAGCUCAAAUUCAAAAUAAACUUCAGAACUUAUCCAAAAUCAUCUAUCUCAUCAUCAUCUUGCUUGCCUUCAACAUCUGGUACUUCUAUCCAAAAUAACCUUUUACAUUUGUGUCCCAUGGAAUAAGACUCGUCACAAUUAUAACACAGCCCUUUAGCCCUUCUUUCUGCCAUUUCUAUCCGUGUCAAUCUCUUAAUAAAUGGUGCAGAAGAACCUAUUUUGCCAUUGUUCCCUGUUGGUUCUACUGUUUGUCCCCCUCCCUUUGCAAUGUUCUGAGUUGUUGGAAUGAUUGAAUUGCUGUCAGUGUUUUGGGAAGUUGACCAGUUUAGAUUGGUUUGAGAUAACAUCUUGGAAGAGACUUUUUGUUUACGUUCCAAAGCUCGAGUCAUAUUCAUUGCAUCUCAAUAUCAAUUCUAUGUUCCUUUAUCAAUCCAGCAGUAAAAAGGUUUACUUGUUGUCGAGGUUUAAGAUCAGUAGUCCUAACAAGUAGUGAUUGAAAUUGGCGUUGAUAUUCUUCUACCGUCCCAGUUUGUCUCAAGUUUGCAAGUUCCCCCCCAAAGGGUUAUUACUCAUAGGUGGCCCAAACCUGAUAUGACAACAUUCUCUGAAGCGUUCCCAAUCCAGAUUUGCCUCCUCUUCUUCGAUUUGAUCAAAUCAUAAUUGUGCCUCUUCUAAAAGAUGGAAUGAAGCUAGGCUGACUUUAUCUUCUUCGUUGGUCCGUUGAUUGCCAAAAAAAAUUUCGCAUCUUUUUAACCAUCCUAAAGGAUCUCCAACCCCAUCAUAAGUGGGAAAUUCCAUCUUAGAGUAUCGUGACACCAUGGCCCCACCGUGUUGCGAAUCUGAAUUUCUUUUCUUGCCUCCAUUGCUACCUUGUUCUUCAUUAUUUUUUUCUGAAUCCUUUUUUGUUGUCUUUUGGACCGAAAGAGAUAACAUCGCCACCUGCUCCUCUAAUGCUUGUUGCCUUGUAGCCAUUUGUUCCAUGAAUGCCUCCAGCUUGGCCGUCAAAGUUUUUUCGUCACCCAUGACAGCUGGCUCCGAUACCAAGUUGUUGUGCGCCUUGGCGUAGGAUCUAGUCAUAGGUCUAGACGAGAAAAAAUUCUUGCUUCGACCUAUGGUUACUCAAAAAGGCAGAUUCGUCCUUGACUGAACCCCCUCUCAAAAUAACGUUUCUUUUGAUAGAAUAAUUGCUUACCUCUUUAUUUCAUAUUGGCAGUCUUUUAUAGACUGUUAAUAACAAAUGAAAAAGUCCUAAUCGACAUAAAAUAGAAUUCCUAACUUAGAGUUUAUGAAGGAAACAAAAACCUAAUAUAGUAAAACUAAAACUCUUAGUAAAACCUGAUAUAAUAAAUAAAUAAAUAAAACUAAAAACUCCUAUUGCAAUUAAAGUGUCUAUAUCACUCUCUUCGAGAAUCAGGUUCAAUUUCUAUGUAACAAGCUAGGCAUGAUUACUAUUUAUGCUCCAGCUUGUGGGGGAGAGUUAACAGGUUGUAAAUAUGUUGUACUGUAAGUUUCUUGCAUUUAGGGAUUCUAGCAGAUAAUUAGGAUUAAAUUUUGUACUCUUUCCU